rnacentral:tRNA from 1 species
GGGGUUGUGGCUCAGUGGUAGAGCACUUAACCAGCAUGUGUGAGGCUCUGGGUUCGAUCCUCAACCCCA